rnacentral:rRNA from 1 species
UAGUAACGGCGAGUGAGCGGGAAGAGCUCAAAUUUGAAAUCUGGCAGUCUUCGAUUGUCCGAGUUGUAAUCUAUAGAGGCGUUUUCCGUGCCGGACCGUGUCCAAGUCUCCUGGAAAGGAGUAUCAAAGAGGGUGAUAAUCCCGUACUUAACACGACCACCGGUGCUCUGUGAUACGUCUUCUACGAGUCGAGUUGUUUGGGAAUGCAGCUCAAAAUGGGUGGUGAAUUCCAUCUAAGCUAAAUAUUGGCGAGAGACCGAUAGCGAACAAGUACCGUGAGGGAAAGAUGAAAAGCACUUUGGAAAGAGAGUUAAACAGUACGUGAAAUUGUUGAAAGGGAAACGAUUGAAGUCAGUCGUGUUCUUUGGAUUCAGCCAGUUCUGCUGGUCUACUUCCUUGGAACGGGUCAACAUCAGUUUUGUCCGGUGGAUAAAGGUAGUAGGAAUGUGACUUCUCCGGAAGUGUUAUAGCCUAUUAUCACAUACACUGGGUGAGACUGAGGACUGCAGCUCGCCUUUAUGGCCGGCCUUCGGGCACGUUCGAGCUUAGGAUGUUGACAUAAUGGCUUUAAACGACCCGUUAAA